rnacentral:rRNA from 1 species
UACGUAGGUGGCAAGCGUUGUCCGGAUUUAUUGGGCGUAAAGAGCGUGUAGGCGGCCAUUCAGGUCAGCUGUGAAAACUCGAGGCUCAACCUCGAGACGUCGGUUGAAACCGUUUGGCUAGAGUCCGGAAGAGGAGAGUGGAAUUCCCGGUGUAGCGGUGAAAUGCGCAGAUAUCGGGAAGAACACCCGUGGCGAAGGCGGCUCUCUGGGACGGUACUGACGCUGAGACGCGAAAGCGUGGGGAGCGAACAGG